rnacentral:rRNA from 1 species
GAUGGKGACUGCCAAUUAGGACAAGCAGACGUUAAAAAGCUCGUAGUCGGAGUUGUUCGGAUAGAGGAUAAAAUGACUUWAUGGAGGAAACUUCAURRGGUGACUCUUCCGAUUCAUUGGAUUAUGAAAGUGCGUUGGUUCGCCAGYGAUUACUUCUCUUCCACAUUUACUUUGAGGAAAUUAGAGUGUUUAUAGCAGUCGUCUUGACUGAAUAGUUYAGCAUGGGAUAAUAGAAUAUGGCAAUAUGUCUUUUCUAUGGUUCUUAAAGGCAAUUCAAAUUUUGCAAUGAUUAAUGGGAGUGGAUGGGGCUGCCAGUAUUGCUGAGCUAGAGGUGAAAUUCUAUGAUUUCAGCAGGACUAACAAAUGCGAAAGCAUCCAGCCAGUACAUGUCCGUCGAUCAAGAACGAAGGGAGUGGUAUCGAAGAUGAUCAGAUACCGUCGUAGUCACUCCAGUAAACGAUGAUAACUCAGGGUAAGGGRGAUGUAAAUUUAAAACUUGCACCUCUUUGAACUGUAUGAGAAAUCAAAGUAUCUAUAUUUCCGGGGGGAGUAUGGCCGCAAGACUGAAACUUAAAGGAAUUGACGGAAGGGCACCACAAGGCGUGGAACCUGCGGCUUAAUUUGACUCAACACGGGAAAACUUACCAGGUCCAGACAUAGUAAGGAUUGACAGGUUGAAAGAUCUUUCUUGAUUCUGUGGGUGGUGGUGCAUGGCCGUUCUUAGUUGGUGGAAUGAUUUGUCUGUUUAAUUACGAUAACGAACGAGAUGAUCAUGGAAAAAUAGGAUGAUUAAUCGAAAGAUUGAUACACUUCCUUCUCUUCCAGAUUAAUGGAUUAAAGCCAUUUGAAAUGAUCGCAAUAACAGGUCUGUGAUGCCCUUAGAUGUUCUGGGCUGCACGCGCGUUACAAUGGUGAUGUCAAUGAGUUUUGAGUGGAUUUACUUCAUUCUUGUGCUUUCUCGAAAGGGAUGGCUAAUCUUAUAUAAACAUCACCGUGCUGGGGAUAGAUGGUUGUAAUUAUCCGUCUUGAACCAGGAAUGCCUAGUAAUCGCAUGUCAUCAGCAUGCGAUGAUUACGUCCCUGCCCUUUGUACACACCGCCCGUCGCUCCUACCGAUUGGAUUGUCCGGUGAGAAUGGAGGAUUUUGGUAUUUUAUGAGCAAUCAUGGAGUAUUGGGAGAAUCCAUUCAAAUCUUAUAAUCUAGAGGAAGGAGAAGUCGUAACAAGGUCUCCGUAG